rnacentral:rRNA from 1 species
CACCGCGGUUAUACGAGAGGUCCAAGCUGACAGCCAUCGGCGUAAAGAGUGGUUAAGUUAACCAACACAACUAAAGUCGAACGCCCCCAAGACCGUUAUACGUGCUCGGAGGUAUGAAGCCCAACUACGAAAGUGGCUUUAAAAUUCCUGACCCCACGAAAGCUGUGAAA